rnacentral:rRNA from 1 species
UACGGAGGGUGCAAGCGUUAUCCGGAUUUACUGGGUUUAAAGGGUGUGUAGGCGGGCUAUUAAGUCAGUGGUGAAAUCUCCGGGCUCAACCUGGAAACUGCCAUUGAUACUAUUAGUCUUGAAUUCUGUUGAGGUAGGCGGAAUAAGUCAUGUAGCGGUGAAAUGCAUAGAUAUGACUUAGAACACCAAUUGCGAAGGCAGCUUACUAAGCAGAUAUUGACGCUGAGGCACGAAAGCGUGGGGAUCAAACAGG